rnacentral:rRNA from 1 species
GAUGAACGCUGGCGGCGUGCCUAAUACAUGCAAGUCGAGCGAACGGACGAGAAGCUUGCUUCUCUGAUGUUAGCGGCGGACGGGUGAGUAACACGUGGAUAACCUACCUAUAAGACUGGGAUAACUUCGGGAAACCGGAGCUAAUACCGGAUGAUAUUUUGAACCGCAUGGUUCAAAAGUGAAAGACGGUCUUGCUGUCACUUAUAGAUGGAUCCGCGCUGCAUUAGCUAGUUGGUAAGGUAACGGCUUACCAAGGCAACGAUGCAUAGCCGACCCGGGAGGGUGAACGGCCACACUGGAACUGAAACACGGUCCAGACUCCUACGGGAGGCAGCAGUAGGGAAUCUUCCGCAAUGGGCGAAAGCCUGACGGAGCAACGCCGCGUGAGUGAUGAAGGUCUUCGGAUCGUAAAACUCUGUUAUUAGGGAAGAACAUAUGUGUAAGUAACUGUGCACAUCUUGACGGUACCUAAUCAGAAAGCCACGGCUAACUACGUG